CCCUCUCUGCCAGAAAUUAUCACUGUGUUCAAGGAAGACCCAGGCCCAAAUAAAGCUGCUAUGUCUAAGGUCAGCCCCUUUUCCUCAGCUUUUCAAGUUGGCAGUCAUCUAAUAUUAAAGACCAAGCCAAAGUCCCGCUCACCUCUGAAGAAGGGAAAGAUACACAGGCUUGUUGGUUCGCUCGGCAGUAGCAGUCCAUGAAAGGGCUGAAGCAGCUGACCUUUCUCCUUCGGCACACCUACAAGCCAGGGUAGAUUCUUGAUGUCCAAUGCUGUCCCUUUUUUGACUUCACAUGCCACAGAAAGGCAACACCUUUGAAACAUCUCAAAGUUUUGCAGACCUGGACUUUUCCAUGCCAUAAGACUGUUUAAAUCUGUGGACUUAUGCCUAAUUGCUAUGUAAGAAGGGAGGUAUUCCUGGUAAUUCUAUUCAAGCUCAUUGUUUUUGACAAGACAUUUUGGUACAAGAUGGGCAGAAUGGCCAACCAACAACUUAUUAACUGAUGAGGGCAUAGAUGAUUGUAAGUUCUAGGAAUA